AGAUGUUAUUACUGAAUUUUUUAGGAUACGUAGUUAAAGAUGGUAAUGAAAAUAGUUUUCAACAGCUGUUUUCACAAAACGAUACUAAAAUAUAAUUAAAUAUUACCUUCAAAUGCUGCUUUUCUAGAUCUGACAUUUUGAGCUGUGUCUCUAGAUCUUUUAUUUUUUCCUUUAGUUGAUCAGCAUCUGUUGAAAAAUGGCAUCUCUAUCAUCCUAUCACAAUGGCAUAAUUAGGUCAAUAGAUUAAUCAUAUUUUAUAGAAGCAGAAAGGAGUGUUCUGGUGAAAGCCAAAAAUAAAUAAG
rnacentral:lncRNA from 10 species